ensembl:lncRNA
CAGCACAACAACGUGACGUCACGAUCUUCCUGUUCGGUAUUUAACUCGUCCUGACGCACAGAGCCGAGCAGACCGACACUUCACAACAGCAGUCGCUUGUAAAGUGAACAAACUCCAGAAACAUGAAGAGCACAGUCUGGUUGUUUUGCCUCAUUGGCCUGACCUGGGCUGUCCACGCUGAAACGGAUCUCCACCGUGAGGAUCGCUCGAUCUCCAACUCGGACUCUGAUGAGAGGAAUCCCUUCAUUCCCUUUCUGAACACACUGACCCAGGAACAGUUCUAUCAGCUCCUGCAGAAACUGUUCUUAGUCCCCGUACCUGCUCCCGUUCCUGCUCCUGUUCCUGCUCCCGUUCCUGCUCCACCUCCAACCGCAGCACCACCUUCUGCCCCAGUGACCGCUGGCGUGGGGAAAUAAACUCCUGGUUCUCAUUUCACACCCCCACAGUGCUCCUACUGGAUUUCUAGAGUAAAAUCGCAACUUCAGUAAACACAACGGCAAGUUUCAUCUCGACUGAGUCUUUGUUCUAAAGUGUUUACGCAGUCGAGAUGUACUCUCUUCUGCACGUACGCUUUAGAUCCUAAAAACGCUUCUGCACACGCCUGAUAAUCUGAUCAAUAUUAUAUUCACUUACAGAAGUGUAAACACCACGUCUGAUCUGAGUUCCAAACUGAAAUUUGAAUAAAAUUGUGCCAUCAUGGGUCAGAAAUUGUAUUUAACUGUGUUACUGCUUUCUGUAGAAACCAGCACGGACACGUGAUUAAUUCUUUCUUCUGUUAAGUUUGUUAAAUUCGUCACCGGGCUUUUAAAGGCUUUACUCUACAAAUCCGAUCAACAUCUAAUAAUGUUUCAGCUUCGUGUGUGCAAUGAAAUGAGAAUAAACACAGACGAUGAUAAUAAAGAUGAUAAAGAAUAAAUUAAAAUGGUUGUCUUUGUGUGGUUUUAUAAGUUAUGAGGACUGGGUGAACUGAAGACGGUAA